UCCGUAGGCGGAAAUCUAAGUCAGUGGUGAAAUCUUACAGCUCAACUGUAAAAUUGCCAUUGAUACUGGAUUUCUUGAAUUAGUGUGAAGUGGUUAGAAUGUGUAGUGUAGCGGUGAAAUGCAUAGAUAUUACACAGAAUACCAAUUGCGAAGGCAGAUCACUAACACUAUAUUGACGCUGAGGGACGAAAGCGUGGGGAGCGAACAGGAUUAGAUACCCUGGUAGUCC
rnacentral:rRNA from 1 species